GUAGAAGCUUGUGUUGUCGUUAUCUUCGGACAGGGGUUCGACUCCCCUCGCCUCCACCA
rnacentral:tmRNA from 1 species